GAUUGAGUGUGUAUACAGUGUAUAUACAGUAUAAAUAACAACUUCAUAUAAUCAAACUAAUUAAUUAAACUGAAAGUUAUGGUCAUUAAUUAGCAUUUAUUCAUCAGUCUUCCCCUCAGAAAGCCCACAGAAAGAACUAAAUUUUGACUGCUGGCAGUGUUGGCUGAUACUGCAAACUGUGUGUCCUGCAUGUUCUCUUCUCUCUGCCAUUUUGGCUUUUGUUUGUGGCUACAGAUACUGCCACAAGACAGUGCUGAAGGAGUCUGAAGGUCAUCAAAGCAGUUCUGAGACACAAAGACAGCUGAGCCAAGAACAGGAUGUCCAUAUAGAAGUUUGCUAUGCAUCACUGAACAUCCCCAAACGAGGAUGCAAACGGACAAAGAGCAGCCGAUUACAAAGCUCUGACUUCAGUGUAUAUGAUGGCAUCAGAAUGCACUCU